GUUGCACGGUCAGCAUGGCAGUGGCGGACGGGUGAGUAACACGUAGGAAUCUAUCUCUGGGUGGGGGACAACCAUGGGAAACUAUGGCUAAUACCGCAUAGGCCCUACGGGGCAAAGCAGGGGAUCUUCGGACCUUGCGCUAUUGGAUGAGCCUGCGUCGGAUUAGCUAGUUGGUGGGGUAAAGGCCCACCAAGGCGACGAUCCGUAGCUGGUCUGAGAGGAUGAUCAGCCACACUGGGACUGAGACACGGCCCAGACUCCUACGGGAGGCAGCAGUGGGGAAUAUUGGACAAUGGGGGCAACCCUGAUCCAGCAAUGCCGCGUGUGAAGAAGGCCUUCGGGUUGUAAAGCACUUUCGGUAGGGAAGAAAAAAGUUUGGCUAAUAUCCAAGCUCUUGACGGUACCUAAAGAAGAAGCACCGGCUAACUCUGUGCCAGCAGCCGCGGUAAUACGAAGGGGGCUAGCGUUGCUCGGAAUGACUGGGCGUAAAGGGCGCGUAGGCGG
rnacentral:rRNA from 1 species